rnacentral:sRNA from 1 species
AACCACACACCAAAAAAAAA